GCCGCGGUGUUGGAAUUGGCAGACAAGCAAGACUUAAAAUCUUGUGCUCCAAAAGAGCGUGAGGGUUCGAACCCCUCCCGCGGCACCA
rnacentral:tRNA from 1 species